rnacentral:rRNA from 1 species
AUUUAAGGUUUAACCUGCCCACUGAAUUUUGAAGGGCCGCAGUAAUUUGACUGUGCAAAGGUAGCAUAAUCAUUAGUUUUUUAAUUAAAAGCUUGUAUGAAGGGUUGGACGAGAUAAAAUCUGUCUUUAUUUAAUUUAUAGUAGAAUUUAAUUUUUAAGUUAAAAAGCUUAAAUUUAUUUAAAAGACGAGAAGACCCUAUAGAUCUUUAUAUAAAUUUUUAUAGUUUUAAUUAAGAAUAUUUUAUUUAUUAUUAAAAUUUAUAUUUUAUUGGGGUAAUAAAAAGAUUAAAUAAAUUCUUUUUUGAAUUAAACAUUGAUUUAUGAUUAGUUGAUCCAAUAUUUUUGAUUAAAAGAUUAAGUUACCUUAGGGAUAACAGCGUAAUUUUUUUAGAGAGUUCAUAUCGAUAAAAAAGUUUGCGACCUCGAUGUUGGAUUAAAAAUUAUCUUAGGUGCAGAAGUUUAAGAUUUUGGUCUGUUCGACCAUUGAAUUUUUACAUGAUCUGAGUUCAGACCGGCGUAAGCCAGGUCGGUUUCUAUCUUUAAUUAAUUAAUAUAUUUUAGUACGAAAGGACCAAAUAUUUAAUAUAUUUAUAUUUAGUAUUUUGAAUAUUAUUAGUUAUUUUGGCAGAUUAGUGCUAUGAAUUUAGAAUUCAUAAAUGUAAGUUUUUUACAAAUAAUAUUGUUUUUUAAAGAUUUAAUUUUUUCUUUAAUUUGUUUUUUAUUAUUAGUAGUGUGUGUUUUAGUAGGGGUAGCAUUUUUGACUUUAUUAGA